rnacentral:antisense_RNA from 1 species
CUUCAGCGAGCCGAGCCACAGCGGCCGGUCCUCCGGCCGGUCCCGGCCGUACGCGGCGAGCAGGGCCUCGGCUUC